GUACUCACUUCACAGCACGUACGCUAAAAUUGGAAUGCUGCAGACAAUAGGAGCAUAGCCCCCAGGCAAGGGUGACACGCAAAUUCAGGACGCGUUUCACAUCGUU